UCCACACACACACACACACUUUCUGAGCUGCUUGUCCCAUACGGGGUCGCGGGGAACCGGAGCCUAACCCGGCAACGCAGGGCGUAAGGCCGGAGGGGGAGGGGACACGCCCGGGACGGGACGCCGGUCCGUCGCAAGGCACCCCAAGCGGGACUCGAACGCCAGACCCACCGGAGAGCAGGACCCGGUCCGACCCGGUCCAACCCGCUGUGCCACCGCACCCCCCGGCCAAUAUCCAGUUCAUGGGAAAAGUGCCAGAUGAGAGGGGCUCCUGGGCGAUCAGCGGAGAUGCAGCAGGAGAUGGGCUGCCUGGCCAGGACAGCGACCGCAGCUCCAGAGGCAUCAUGGCAGCCUGCAGACUGUGCCCUUUGCCAAGGGGACGUCACCGUGGAAGUCAGCGGUUCGGUGAGACUCUGAUCAAGGACAUACGGAAGACCAGG
rnacentral:lncRNA from 1 species